GAGGGUAUAGCUCAGUGAUGGAGCAUGUGCCUUGCAUGCAUAAGGCCCUGGGUUCAAUCCCCAAUACCUCCC
rnacentral:tRNA from 1 species